rnacentral:rRNA from 1 species
GAUUUCUGGUUAAGUAACGCUAGCCCGCCCUUGCCAGGGGUACGCACUGGUUAGUUGCUUGCCAUCUUUCUAGAAAGCCAGCGUUUGUCAUUCACUUGGCGGACGUGACGCGAUCUAGAUCUUUUACUUUGAGAAAAGUCGAGGGUUUAAAGCAGGCGUACGCUAUACAUUAGCUUGGAAUAAUAAUAUAGGACAUUGGUUCUAUUUUGUUGGUUUCUAGGACUGAAGUAAUGAUUGAUAGGGAUAGUUGGGGGUGCUAGUAUUCAGCGGCCAGAGGUGAAAUUCUUGGAUUCACUAAAGACUAACUACUGCGAAAGCAUU